UACGAAGGGGACUAGCGUUGUUCGGAAUCACUGGGCGUAAAGCGCACGUAGGCGGAUGUGUCAGUCAGGGGUGAAAUCCCGGAGCUCAACUUCGGAACUGCCUCUGAUACAGCACGUCUUGAGUCCGAUAGAGGUGGGUGGAAUUCCUAGUGUAGAGGUGAAAUUCGUAGAUAUUAGGAAGAACACCGGUGGCGAAGGCGGCCCACUGGAUCGGUACUGACGCUGAGGUGCGAAAGCGUGGGGAGCAAACAGG
rnacentral:rRNA from 1 species